AGAAGAUGAAGAGAGACAAGAUCAAAGAUGGAGGAAGCUCAGUGAGACAGACACACACAGAGAUGAAAGGCGCAGCGUCUUACCUGAACUCCGGCAGCUCGGUGUCAAACUGGACAUUGUCCUGAUAAACCACAGAGAGACGGCCGUCCAUCACCACCACCUUCAGCUACAGACACACCCAGAGAGACGGAACACACCAUGAGGUCCAUGACAUGGUCUAACUGGUCCUGGUGCAGACUCCAGGGCUGCAGGUCA